UGAACGCUAGCGGCAGGCUUAACACAUGCAAGUCGAGGGGGUAGAGGAAGCUUGCUUCCUUGAGACCGGCGCACGGGUGCGUAACGCGUAUGCAAUCUACCUUUGCAGAGGGAUAGCCCAGAGAAAUUUGGAUUAAUACCUCAUAGUAUGUGAGGAUGGCAUCAUUUUCACAUUAAAGUCACAACGGCAAAAGAUGAGCAUGCGUCCCAUUAGCUAGUUGGUAAGGUAACGGCUUACCAAGGCUACGAUGGGUAGGGGUCCUGAGAGGGAGAUCCCCCACACUGGUACUGAGACACGGACCAGACUCCUACGGGAGGCAGCAGUGAGGAAUAUUGGACAAUGGGCGCAAGCCUGAUCCAGCCAUGCCGCGUGCAGGAAGAAGCAUCUAUGGUGUGUAAACUGCUUUUGUACGGGAAGAAACACUCCUACGUGUAGGAGCUUGACGGUACCGUAAGAAUAAGGAUCGGCUAACUCCGUG
rnacentral:rRNA from 1 species